GCCUAAGCAAAAGGUCAAAGUAAACUGAAGAUCAUGGAGAAAAUUAGAAUGAUGGAUACUCUCAAAAAUAUCUCCUACACCAAGAAGAACAACUGAAGACUAAUGGUCAAUAAAUGAGAUCUGAACAUGAAGGUGGCAGUGUUCAUUUCCAUUUCAAAGCUGAA